CCCUCAGAGGGGGAUAACAUUCGGAAACGGAUGCUAAAACCGCAUAGGUUCUUGAGUCGCAUGACUGAAGAAGGAAAAGAGGCUUCGGCUUCUGCUGAUGGAUGGACCCCCGGUGCAUUAGCCAGUUGGUGAGGUAACGGCUCACCAAGGCCGUGAUGCAUAGCCGACCUGAGAGGGUGAUCGGCCACAUUGGGACUGAGACACGGCCCAAACUCUACGGGAGGCAGCAGUAGGGAAUCUUCCGCAAUGGACGCAAGUCUGACGGAGCAACGCCGCGUGAGUGAAGAAGGAUUUCGGUUCGUAAAACUCUGUUGUUAGAGAAGAACAGCGCAUAGAGUAACUGUUAUGCGUGUGACGGAUCUAACCAGAAACCC
rnacentral:rRNA from 1 species